rnacentral:misc_RNA from 1 species
AUUGGAGAAAAUGAUGUUGCUACCAAACCUCUGGAGAAUAAGCUUUAUGCUAUGGCCUCCGUAAUAGGUGGUGACCCAAUGAGGUCGAGGUGGAACACCAUAGAAAUCCUUGCAGUCUUGGAUGUAGCUGUUGAGAUCGAAAGGGUCAGGCGGGAACAUGGUGUCAUUCCCACGGCCAAUAGGUAUCACCAUCUCACUACAUGUCUGCCAUCUCCACCCAACUCUUGUUUCAGAUACAUUAGUCGGUGGAUUAAUAUAGCAAGAUUUGUUUCCCCUGUAAGCAAAAAGACCAGCAAAUAUUUUG